AAUGGAAAUAUAUGAUAUUGUUGUGCA
rnacentral:piRNA from 1 species